rnacentral:lncRNA from 1 species
AUGACAUUGUUUUUGACAGAAGGCAAAAUGCAGCGGAACAGAAACAGCUCUGCCUGUAAUGAACAGAGGGUGGAACAAAAACGAUGCCUUCUUACAGAGACAGGGAAGGCAUUGUAUGUGAGGGGGAAAAAACCUGUGAAUUUUUGCAAGCCCCCAACCAUUCCACUUCAUUUCCACCCUCAAGAAGCAUUCACCUCCAAAUGGCUCUGUGGGUCACAGAAGCCCACCUGCCAAAGUUACAUCCCAGUGCUCCGGGUCUGCUUAAGCUGCAGCUGCACAAGGAGAGAUGUUCAUGUUCCAGUGGCUGAAGCUAAUGCCACUGCUGAAAAGAAAACAGAAAUGUUGUGGUGUAUGGUGGUCCAGUGAUGUAUGGAAGUGAGAGCUGGACCAUAAAUAAGGCUGAUCGCCGAAGAAUUGAUGCUUUUGGAUUAUGGUGCUGGAGGAGACUCUUGAGAGUCCCAUGGACUGCAAGAAGAUCAAACCUCUCCAUUCUGAAGGAAAUCAGCCCUGAGUGCUUACUGGAAGGACAGAUCCCGAAGCUGAGGCUCCAAUACUUUGGCCACCUCAUGAGAAGAGAAGACUCCCUGGAAACGACCCUGAUGUUGGAAAGAUGGAGGGCACAAGGAGAAGGGGAUGACAGAGGACGAGAUGGUUGGACAGUGUUCUCGAAGCUACCAACAUGAGUUUGACCAAACUGCGGGAGGUAGUGGAAGACAGGAGGGCCUGGCGUGCUCUGGUCCAUGGGGUCACGAAGAGUCAGACACGACUAAACGACUAAACAACAACAACAUGGUGGUCCCAAUGCUUCUGGAACCUCGUUCCUCAAGAUUUACAGGUGGCCAUUUUGAAAUCCGCUUCUGAUCAUUCUUCAUCUAUCAUGCCGGCCUAAGGAAGUGGUGUGUAUUCUCGCAGCAUCACGUUGUAUAUUCUUGAAAAAUUCUCAACCUACAAGAACCCUUUGUCCCAGAGCAUGUGCAUUCACGUACUGCGUCAUGAUACUUCGACCCAAACCUGCACCAUUCUUCCCUGCAAACACACAUGCUUGAGAACCAAUAGUCAAGCAACUGUUCCCCUCAUCAAGCGCAUCUUCUUUGAUGUUAACAGGCAAAGAAAGACAGACAUAAGGGGGCUGGCUCUGACCAUUCCCCACCUACCCCUGCUACUCAUAGAGGCUCACCUGGGGUUCUAGAACCCUGGAUUUUCAAGAGGUCUGAAAGGCAGAGGGAAUAUCCAGAAAUAGAGGAGACUCUCAACUUCAGAAGUUUGUCCUAUGGAUUGUGAAGAGCAACCAGAAUUGUCAUGCGGUCAAUGCUAACACACACAUCCCCACUCUUUCCUUUCAUGCACUAACAGCAGAGAACGUUAAUAAAACAAGAGAAUCUAUGUUGCAAUGAAAAUGUAACUUUAUUUAUCGGUUGUUCACCCUUCCUCUGAAGGAGCCCAGGUCAAUGCACAUUGUACAUGUAAGCAAAACACAAUAAGCAUGGCUGAAAACAAAUGUAAAAUAAAAAUUUGUGCAAUGAGUCCCCCCACACUUGGUUUCCCCCCUCCCUCUCCAAAUCUGCUCCGGAAGUUUGGGAGAAGAAUGCCUUAGAAUGAUGCUGAAUUCUACCAUAGAAUCAUAGAACUGUAGAGUUGGAAGGGACCACAGCGAUCAUCUAGUCUAACCCCCUGAAAUGCAGGGAUCCUUUCCCCAAUGUGUGGCUCGAAUCCAUGACCUUGCAAACAAGAGUCUCAUGUUCUACCAACUGAGCUAUCCCAUGGGCAACAAGUCAUUAAAACACAUUUAUGCAUACACUAUUGCCGAAAUACUCAGCGUUCAAAAAUAUACUGUGUCUCUGUUUAAAGUGAAAAAUAAAACACCAUUGUGUGGAUAAAUAGGAACUCUCUGAAAACUGGAUGGGCAGAUCUCCAAUGCUCAAAUUCAAGAAAUAGAGACCAAGAUUGAAUUCCCCCAGCUGGUUUCACACAUACCUAGUCUCUCAAUCUGCAGGGCAUGGUGGUGAUAGGUGCCCUGUGAUUUAUUGUUUUAAAUCCCCGCUAGUAUUUGGUACACCACCUCUGAACAUAGGCACCAUGGCCAUAAUGCAGCAUCAUGCAUAAUCAGUUGCACAUG